rnacentral:rRNA from 1 species
AGUGAACGCUGGCGGUAGGCCUAACACAUGCAAGUCGAACGGCAGCACAGUAAGAGCUUGCUCUUACGGGUGGCGAGUGGCGGACGGGUGAGGAAUACAUCGGAAUCUACUUUUUCGUGGGGGAUAACGUAGGGAAACUUACGCUAAUACCGCAUACGACCUACGGGUGAAAGCAGGGGAUCUUCGGACCUUGCGCGAUUGAAUGAGCCGAUGUCGGAUUAGCUAGUUGGCGGGGUAAAGGCCCACCAAGGCGACGAUCCGUAGCUGGUCUGAGAGGAUGAUCAGCCACACUGGAACUGAGGCACGGUCCAGACUCCUACGGGAGGCAGCAGUGGGGAAUAUUGGACAAUGGGCGCAAGCCUGAUCCAGCCAUACCGCGUGGGUGAAGAAGGCCUUCGGGUUGUAAAGCCCUUUUGUUGGGAAAGAAAAGCGGCAGGUUAAUACCCCGCUGUUCUGACGGUACCCAAAGAAUAAGCACCGGCUAACUUCGUG